UUGAACGCUGGCGGCAUGCCUUACACAUGCAAGUCGAACGGCAGCACGGGGGCAACCCUGGUGGCGAGUGGCGAACGGGUGAGUAAUACAUCGGAACGUGUCCUGUCGUGGGGGAUAACCAGUCGAAAGACUGGCUAAUACCGCAUGAGAUCGAGAGAUGAAAGCAGGGGACCGCAAGGCCUUGCGCGAUUGGAGCGGCCGAUGUCGGAUUAGCUAGUUGGCGGGGUAAAAGCCCACCAAGGCUACGAUCCGUAGCUGGUUUGAGAGAACGACCAGCCACACUGGGACUGAGACACGGCCCAGACUCCUACGGGAGGCAGCAGUGGGGAAUUUUGGACAAUGGGGGCAACCCUGAUCCAGCCAUGCCGCGUGUGUGAAGAAGGCCUUCGGGUUGUAAAGCACUUUCGGACGGAACGAAAUCGCACGGGUGAAUAUCCCGUGUGGAUGACGGUACUGUAAGAAGAAGCACCGGCUAACUACGU
rnacentral:rRNA from 1 species